rnacentral:rRNA from 1 species
CGUGUCGUGAGAUGUUCGGUUAAGUCCCGGCAACGAGCGCAACCCACAUCUUUAGUUGCCAGCAGUUCGGCUGGGCACUCUAGAGAAACUGCCCGUGAUAAGCGGGAGGAAGGUGUGGAUGACGUCAAGUCCUCAUGGCCCUUACGGGUUGGGCUACACACGUGCUACAAUGGCAUCUACAGUGGGUUAAUCCCCAAAAGAUGUCUCAGUUCGGAUUGUUCUCUGCAACUCGAGAACAUGAAGUCGGAAUCGCUAGUAAUCGCGUAACAGCAUGACGCGGUGAAUACGUUCCCGGGCCUU